rnacentral:rRNA from 1 species
GACGAGGGAUCCUAGCGUUGUUCGGAAUUAUUGGGCGUAAAGCGGGUGUAGGUGGCCAUGUAAGUCAGAUGUGAAAGCCCAGGGCUUAACCCUGGAAGUGCAUUUGAUACUGCGUGGCUUGAGUGUGGGAGAGGAUAGUAGAAUUCCUGGUGUAGUGGUGAAAUACGUAGAUAUCAGGAGGAAUACCGGAGGCGAAGGCGGCUAUCUGGCCUAACACUGACACUCAGACCCGAAAGCGUGGGGAUCAAACAGG